GAGUUUGACCUGGCUCAGGAUGAACGCUGGCGGCGUGCCUAAUACAUGCAAGUCGAGCGAACAGAUAAGGAGCUUGCUCCUUUGACGUUAGCGGCGGACGGGUGAGUAACACGUGGGUAACCUACCUAUAAGACUGGAAUAACUCCGGGAAACCGGGGCUAAUGCCGGAUAAUAUUUAGAACCGCAUGGUUCUAAAGUGAAAGAUGGUUUUGCUAUCACUUAUAGAUGGACCCGCGCCGUAUUAGCUAGUUGGUGGGGUAAUGGCUUACCAAGGCAACGAUACGUAGCCGACCUGAGAGGGUGAUCGGCCACACUGGAACUGAGACACGGUCCAGACUCCUACGGGAGGCAGCAGUAGGGAAUCUUCCGCAAUGGGCGAAAGCCUGACGGAGCAACGCCGCGUGAGUGAUGAAGGUCUUCGGAUCGUAAAACUCUGUUAUUAGGGAAGAACAAAUGUGUAAGUAACUGUGCACGUCUUGACGGUACCUAAUCAGAAAGCCACGGCUAACUACGUGCCAGCAGCCGCGGU
rnacentral:rRNA from 1 species